CCGUAUUAUCACGACUACCAUAGACCGUUGUUAAUUGUUUAAAACACGAUCAGGAUAUUUGGAUAUUUGUGCUCAAGGUGUCCCAUCUUCCCCCACCCCACUAUAUAUUAUUCCCAAUCCUUCAUGAAAUAAACUUUAUAAACCAAAAGGUUCGGUUGGUUCUUAACAACUACGUAUUUAAGGAAUGGGUGAAGUCUAUGGUGAUACAGAAACCAGUAGACUGGCGUUCGUUAUAUCAACAGAACAUCUCAGAAAUCGAAUUAUGGAAAUUUAAUUUACGACCAUUUAAGUGAAUCUGAUGGUUCACGAGAGGUUGUUUGUAGAUGUAUGGCUUGUUAAAGGAAGUUGCUGACUGCUGAGCGAUGGCUCAGAAACUGUGAUGUAUAAUGUAAACAGAAACUGCUGUCGUGUCAGUGUAACAUUCGCCGCAUAUACAAGGCGAGACAUUUUCCAUUGCGUGCAGUUAAGAUUUCGGUCGGACACGCCGAACUGUUGAACUAAUAAAAAACAAUUGUCAUGGACCAUUUAAAUACGUUAUGUCGGUCGGACAAUACGCUGGGAUUUGCACAAAGCUCUUUUCCUAUUCUUCAUGCUGAAUUGCUGGAAUCGUAAGGGAUUCAAAAGAUAUGACAGCGCACAAAGCAGGUAGUUUGGGGAGAAAAGUGGUUUGGACAAACAUGGAAACAGAAGGACCGGUGCCCACUCGUUUGGACAGCGGGUGAAUGCCCACAACUGUAUGCUUUCAGUUUUAUCGACCUUCGACCUAUAUUUUUGUCCUUCCCGCAAAGCGUGCCAAAUAAUAAAACUGUAAUUGCUUAAUAACGAGGGCGGGGAAAUAGGACGAGCAGCAAUUACGCUCACCGAUGCAUAUGGCGGAAAGCAUGCGUGUCAUGCGGGGUCGACCAGCUACGUAUGGCUUACUGCUUAACACGUCGGACGUUACUUCUAGUAAAAAGCCGACCGGGUUAGGUUUGAUUGUUUUAGUAGGAGUGAGUGCUUUCACACGUCACUGUUGGUGAUCAAACGAAACACGAAACUGCCGAUGACACGUGCUCUAAGGGACAACGGAAAUCCCUCUCCUUGAAAGAGAUUGUUGCUCGUUAAGUCCCAAACAAAGCACUCCAGGGUAGCGAACGUUGUUGGGCCGAUCUCGUUAAUGUAGUUUAAUGUAUUGGAUUGUAAAACACCGAUAAAGGAAGCGUAAUGGACCGACGGUAAUUGGCCAAUAGUGCGGUAGGUUAGGCAAACAUAACACGGUACAGGAUGCAUCAUGGCGGAUUCGCUUCACCGGCCGUUGACCUUCCGUUUUCGGUGGCUUUGAAUCCCGCUGUACUAACGGUUUAAAACGACGUUUUUAAAAUUCGAUUCAAGCUGUGAAUUGGUGCAAAUUUUAACUUGUGAAGUUCGCAUGAGGUUUUGGUAGAACAAUGGGCGUAUUGAUCGCUGUUAGAGAAACUUGCGUGAACUUGAUUUGAGUCAAAAAUAAUUCGCAUGCCUGCGUUGCGACCGCGUGUAG